AUUGUUUGUGUGCGCUUCAAUCAAUCAAAAGCUUUCAUCAUCUUCUUCGUUUCCAUUCUAUUCAGAUCAACAUUCAUGGCUGAGGGAUAAGCACAAGAGAGGAAAUACAGUGCGGUGAUUACAAAUAUCCACCUAGUGUGCCCUGCAGAUCGAGUUGAAGACUGCACCAGCUGACUACCGUUUCCCAACAACAAACCAAAGCAGACACUGUUUCACUCGCUAUGUAGAGUUUCACAGGUGUGUUGCGGCCAAGGGUGAUGAUGCUUCUGAAUGCGAGAAGUUUGCCAAAUUCUAUCGCUCUCUUUGCCCCGGUGAAUGGGUUGACAGGUGGAAUGAGCAGAGAGAGAAUGGGAUAUUUCCAGGUCCUCUGUGAUCUCAUCUGAUCUGGUAAUGGCAUGGGUCCUUGUUUGAAAUAAUUUUUCACAGUUUUUAAGAUUAUUUGGCUAAUAAGAAGCCAUUUUUUUUUUUUAUAAAUUAUGUUUGCUUGCUUUCACAUUUCUUGAUUAUGAGCCUAGUCCCUUGACUACUUUCAACCGUUUUUUAAGUUUGUUUUAAACUUGGUUUAAGUGUGA